GUGUGAUCCACCACACCCAGCUGUCUAUGUCUUAUGACUGCAUAAACCAGAAAAAAAUGGUUGGGGGGUGGGGGACGCGGUUCAGGCACAACAAUACCAGGAGAGACUAGCAGACCAUGUGAAUAGGAAAGACAUUUGGAGGAGCAGUUUAUUGAUGGAAGAUUAUGUAUCAUUCUAUCCAUGUGAUCUAUUGCAUCUACCAUUUAAUACAUCUGGCUAUCAUGCUACGGAAACCAUAUGAAGAACCAUGUGGAGAAAAGAGGCACUGAGAUUACGGGGAGAGCAUGAAGAGGGAGAGAGCCAGCCAUCCCACAAUCCCAGCUGAACUUCCAGAUGGUUCCAGCUCCAGUCAAUAUCUGACUGCAAUUUCAAGAGAGACUCCAAGCAAGAUCAGAUGAGCCCAGAACUAAACUGGGACUACAGAACUGUAGUAUGCACCUUGGCGAAGGCAGCAGCAGUCAUCUGAACACGACCCUCAUCAGAGGCAUAGAUCUUGAGAUCGUGGCGGAAAGUGCUAUGGAGACGAAGCAGCCCACAACCAGGGAAGCCAGCAUAGUCACCUGGGGACAAAGGUGGGGGACCAGGAAUGGACUGCUAUAAAUACUCGUGGAAGAAAAAAUAUUCAUUUC